rnacentral:rRNA from 1 species
CAGCCGCCGCGGUAAUACGUAGGUGGCAAGCGUUGUCCGGAAUUAUUGGGCGUAAAGCGCGCGCAGGUGGUUUAAUAAGUCUGAUGUGAAAGCCCACGGCUCAACCGUGGAGGGUCAUUGGAAACUGUUAAACUUGAGUGCAGGAGAGAAAAGUGGAAUUCCUAGUGUAGCGGUGAAAUGCGUAGAGAUUAGGAGGAACACCAGUGGCGAAGGCGGCUUUUUGGCCUGUAACUGACACUGAGGCGUGAAAGCGUGGGGAGCAAACAGGAUUAGAUACCCCCGUAGUCCCUGUCUCUUAUAC